UAGGAUGAACGCUAGCUACAGGCUUAACACAUGCAAGUCGAGGGGCAGCAUGGUCUUAGCUUGCUAAGGCCGAUGGCGACCGGCGCACGGGUGAGUAACACGUAUCCAACCUGCCGUCUACUCUUGGACAGCCUUCUGAAAGGAAGAUUAAUACAAGAUGGCAUCAUGAGUCCGCAUGUUCACAUGAUUAAAGGUAUUCCGGUAGACGAUGGGGAUGCGUUCCAUUAGAUAGUAGGCGGGGUAACGGCCCACCUAGUCUUCGAUGGAUAGGGGUUCUGAGAGGAAGGUCCCCCACAUUGGAACUGAGACACGGUCCAAACUCCUACGGGAGGCAGCAGUGAGGAAUAUUGGUCAAUGGGCGAGAGCCUGAACCAGCCAAGUAGCGUGAAGGAUGACUGCCCUAUGGGUUGUAAACUUCUUUUAUAAAGGAAUAAAGUCGGGUAUGGAUACCCGUUUGCAUGUACUUUAUGAAUAAGGAUCGGCUAACUCCGUGCCAGCAGCCGCGGUAAUACGGAGGAUCCGAGCGUUAUCCGGAUUUAUUGGGUUUAAAGGGAGCGUAGAUGGAUGUUUAAGUCAGUUGUGAAAGUUUGCGGCUCAACCGUAAAAUUGCAGUUGAUACUGGAUAUCUUGAGUGCAGUUGAGGCAGGCGGAAUUCGUGGUGUAGCGGUGAAAUGCUUAGAUAUCACGAAGAACUCCGAUUGCGAAGGCAGCCUGCUAAGCUGCAACUGACAUUGAGGCUCGAAAGUGUGGGUAUCAAACAGGAUUAGAUACCCUGGUAGUCCACACGGUAAACGAUGAAUACUCGCUGUUUGCGAUAUACGGCAAGCGGCCAAGCGAAAGCGUUAAGUAUUCCACCUGGGGGAGUACGCCGGCAACGGUGAAAACUCAAAAGGAAUUGACGGGGGCCCCGCACAAGCGGAGGAACAUGUGGUUUAAUUUGAUGAUACGCGAGGAACCUUACCCGGGCUUAAAUUGCAGAUGAAUUACGGUGAAAGCCGUAAGCCGCAAGGCAUCUGUGAAGGUGCUGCAUGGUUGUCGUCAGCUCGUGCCGUGAGGUGUCGGCAUAAGUGCCAUAACGAGCGCAACCCUUGUUGUCAGUUACUAACAGGUUAUGCUGAGGACUCUGACAAGACUGCCAUCGUAAGAUGUGAGGAAGGUGGGGAUGACGUCAAAUCAGCACGGCCCUUACGUCCGGGGCUACACACGUGUUACAAUGGGGGGUACAGAGGGCCGCUACCACGCGAGUGGAUGCCAAUCCCCAAAACCUCUCUCAGUUCGGACUGGAGUCUGCAACCCGACUCCACGAAGCUGGAUUCGCUAGUAAUCGCGCAUCAGCCACGGCGCGGUGAAUACGUUCCCGGGCCUUGUACACACCGCCCGUCAAGCCAUGGGAGCCGGGGGUACCUGAAGUGCGUAACCGCGAGGAGCGCCCUAGGGUAAAAC
rnacentral:rRNA from 1 species